UUUCCUUAGAGCGGGGAAUAGCCCAGAGAAAUUUGGAUUAAUACCCCAUAGUAUAAUGAAGAAGCAUUUCUUUAUUAUUAAAGAUUUAUCACUCUAAGAUGGGCGUGCGGCUGAUUAGGUAGUUGGCGGGGUAACGGCCCACCAAGCCUACGAUCAGUAGCUGAUGUGAGAGCAUGAUCAGCCACACGGGCACUGAGACACGGGCCCGACUCCUACGGGAGGCAGCAGUAAGGAAUAUUGGUCAAUGGACGAAAGUCUGAACAGCCAUG
rnacentral:rRNA from 1 species